AGCUCCAAUAGCGUAUAUUAAAGUUGUUGCAGUUAAAAAGCUCGUAGUUGGAUUUCUGGUGUGAGGGAACGGUCCGACCUCUGGUGGGUACUUGCUUCCUCUCACGCCAUCCUUGAGUGGUGCGUUCUGGCAUUCAGUUGUCGGGACGUUAGCCGCUCAUCGUUUACUGUGAGAAAAAGAGUGUUCAAAGCAGGCUUAUGCCGUUGAAUAUAUUAGCAUGGAAUAAUAAGAUAGGACUUCGGUACUAUUUUGUUGGUUUGCGCACCGAUGUAAUGAUCAAUAGGGACAGUUGGGGGUAUUCGUAUUCAGUUGUCAGAGGUGAAAUUCUUAGAUUUACGGAAGACGAACUACUGCGAAAGCAUUUACCAAGGAUGUUUUCA
rnacentral:rRNA from 1 species